AUGUACAGUACCAGUCAAAAGUUUAGACAUGCUUUCCCAUUCAAGUGAAUGAGAAAACAUGUCCAAACUUUUGACUGGUAUGUAAAAAGAUAAUAAUAAUA